rnacentral:tRNA from 1 species
AGGCGCGUAGCUCAGUUGGUUAGAGCACCUGCAUGACACGCAGGGGGUCGUUGGUUCGAAUCCAAUCGUGCCUACCA